UGUUAAACAUUUCAUCCAUUCUACUGUUAAAAACUAACGUGACUGACGAAAUAACUAGAUAGUUACACGUGACAUGCCAUUUGUACCUUAUGCUUACAUAUAUAGACUAGUUUUUUUAAAAUAAAAAUGAACGAAAUUGUUAACA
rnacentral:pre_miRNA from 1 species